AUGCCGGCGAGCGGCGGACGGGUGAGUAAUGCCUAGGAAUCUGCCUGGUAGUGGGGGAUAACGCGGGGAAACUCGCGCUAAUACCGCAUACGUCCUACGGGAGAAAGUGGGGGACCUUCGGGCCUCACGCUAUCAGAUGAGCCUAGGUCGGAUUAGCUAGUUGGUAGGGUAAAGGCCUACCAAGGCGACGAUCCGUAACUGGUCUGAGAGGAUGAUCAGUCACACUGGAACUGAGACACGGUCCAGACUCCUACGGGAGGCAGCAGUGGGGAAUAUUGGACAAUGGGCGAAAGCCUGAUCCAGCCAUGCCGCGUGUGUGAAGAAGGUCUUCGGAUUGUAAAGCACUUUAAGUUGGGAGGAAGGGCAGUAAGUUAAUACCUUGCUGUUUUGACGUUACCGACAGAAUAAGCACCGGCUAACUCUGUGCCAGCAGCCGCGGUAAUACAGAGGGUGCAAGCGUUAAUCGGAAUUACUGGGCGUAAAGCGCGCGUAGGUGGUUCAGCAAGUUGGAUGUGAAAUCCCCGGGCUCAACCUGGGAACUGCAUCCAAAACUACUGAGCUAGAGUACGGUAGAGGGUGGUGGAAUU
rnacentral:rRNA from 1 species